CCUACGGGAGGCAGCAGUGAGGAAUAUUGGUCAAUGGCCGGAAGGCUGAACCAGCCAUGCCGCGUGAAGGUCAGUGCCCUAUGGGCGUUAAACUUCUUUUGUGCAAGAGCAAUAAUGGUCACGUGUGGCCAGACGAGAGUACCGUACGAAUAAGCAUCCGCUAAAUCCGUGCCAGCAGCCGCGGUAAUGCGGGGGAUGCAAGCGUUAUCCGGAUUUAUUGGGUUGAAAGGGGGCGGAGGGUGGGAGGUUAGUCAGCGGUGAAAAGCCCCCGCGCAACGGGGUGAAGUGCCAUUGAUACUGCCUGGCUGGAAUGCGGAUGCCGUGGGAGGAAUGUGUGGUGUAGCGGUGAAAUGCAUAGAUAUCACACAGAACACCGAUUGCGAAGGCAUCUCACGAAUCCGCGAUUGACGCUGAUGCACGAAAGCGUGGGUAUCAAACAGGAUUAGAUACCCUAGUAGUC
rnacentral:rRNA from 1 species